GAGUGGCGAACGGGUGAGUAACACGUGGGUAACCUGCCCAGAAGUAGGGGAUAACACCUGGAAACAGAUGCUAAUACCGUAUAACAGAGAAAACCGCAUGGUUUUCUUUUAAAAGAUGGCUCUGCUAUCACUUCUGGAUGGACCCGCGGCGUAUUAGCUAGUUGGUGAGGUAAAGGCUCACCAAGGCAGUGAUACGUAGCCGACCUGAGAGGGUAAUCGGCCACAUUGGGACUGAGACACGGCCCAGACUCCUACGGGAGGCAGCAGUAGGGAAUCUUCCACAAUGGACGCAAGUCUGAUGGAGCAACGCCGCGUGAGUGAAGAAGGGUUUCGGCUCGUAAAGCUCUGUUGUUAAAGAAGAACGUGGGUAAGAGUAACUGUUUACCCAGUGACGGUAUUUAACCAGAAAGCCACGGCUAACUACGUGCCAGCAGCCGCGGUAAUACGUAGGUGGCAAGCGUUAUCCGGAUUUAUUGGGCGUAAAGCGAGCGCAGGCGGUCUUUUAAGUCUAAUGUGAAAGCCUUCGGCUCAACCGAAGAAGUGCAUUGGAAACUGGGAGACUUGAGUGCAGAAGAGGACAGUGGAACUCCAUGUGUAGCGGUGAAAUGCGUAGAUAUAUGAAGAACACCAGUGGCGAAGGCGGCUGUCUGGUCUGCAACUGACGCUGAGGCUCGAAAGCAUGGGUAGCGAACAGGAUUAGAUACCGUGGUAGUCCAUGCCGUAAACGAUGAUUACUAAGUGUUGGAGGGUUUCCGCCCUUUCAGUGCUGCAGCUAACGCAUUAAGUAAUCCGCCUGGGGAGUACGACCGCAAGGUUGAAACUCAAAAGAAUUGACGGGGGCCCGCACAAGCGGUGGAGCAUGUGGUUUAAUUCGAAGCUACGCGAAGAACCUUACCAGGUCUUGACAUCUUCUGACAGUCUAAGAGAUUAGAGGUUCCCUUCGGGGACAGAAUGACAGGUGGUGCAUGGUUGUCGUCAGCUCGUGUCGUGAGAUGUUGGGUUAAGUCCCGCAACGAGCGCAACCCUUAUUACUAGUUGCCAGCAUUAAGUUGGGCACUCUAGUGAGACUGCCGGUGACAAACCGGAGGAAGGUGGGGACGACGUCAAAUCAUCAUGCCCCUUAUGACCUGGGCUACACACGUGCUACAAUGGAUGGUACAACGAGUCGCGAAACCGCGAGGUUAAGCUAAUCUCUUAAAACCAUUCUCAGUUCGGACUGUAGGCUGCAACUCGCCUACACGAAGUCGGAAUCGCUAGUAAUCGCGGAUCAGCAUGCCGCGGUGAAUACGUUCCCGGGCCUUGUACACACCGCCCGUCACACCAUGAGAGUUUGUAACACCCAAAGCCGGUGGGGUAACCUUUUAGGAGCUAGCCGUCUAAGGUGGGACAGAUGAUUAGGGUGAAGUCGUAACAAGGUA
rnacentral:rRNA from 1 species